rnacentral:piRNA from 1 species
UGGACAGUUGAGAAUUUCGUCUUUUCUCCGU